AAAUAAGAUUCUGGAGGGUGGCAGUUUUGAGAAAAGCUAGAUUGGCAAAGUGAGUGUUCUAUCAGGAAGACGAGGCUCUACAGGAUAGCAGCUUUGAGAAAAGCUAGAGUGGCAGAGGCGAUGUUCUAGCUAUAGGACGAGGCUCUGGAGGGGCUUUGGAGGGUAACAGCUUUGAGAAAAACUAGAUUGACAGAGGCGGUGUCCUAGCUGUAGGAAUAGGUUCUGGAGGAUGGGCCUGUUUUGUUGACCUGGAGGAUGAUAUUAGUACCUAUGGAUUAGGGAAAAGAGAGAAAGAGAAACCUUGUACAUAAUAUGAGUUUAAUUUUAGUCCUCAAAACUCAUUUUAUUCCAAUUCAUCGUUAUCCCUCUCCUUCUCACCCUUAAAGAGAAGUGUGUUCAAAGUAGAUUACCUUUAUGAAGUUGAAUAUUUAGAUGAAGACAACAAAGUUCUAUUCCUAACAUCCUUUUUAAUAAUCCCUAUAAAGCUUUCACAAAGCCUUUUAUAUUGGUGACAGUCUUAAUUUUUGCAUUUGUUUUUAAUUUCUCUUCCUAUUUAUCAUUCUUGCUUAUUUGGAUAUUCUAAUAUCCACUUUCCCGUCCUCUUUUAAUGGGGCAUAAGUCAUAUGUUUUUUUUUUUUUUUUUAAUAUGAGAUCGAAAUGUAACUUUUCUUUAUCAUAUUGGUUUCUAAAUGCGAUAUGUUUUAGAAAUUAGUUAAAUUAUUAUUUUCAUAUUUAAGUGACUUGAUUUUUGUAUCCUUAACAGGAUGUGGCGAAGGAAUUCGGGGUACGGGAAAUGCCAACAUUUGUGCUGCUCAAGCACGGGAAAGAAGUGGAGAGGGUGGUGGGAGCCCAGAAAGAUGAGCUUGAGAAGAAAAUCCUUGAGCACAUGAAACAAUCCCAAAACAAUCCUUAAUGCGCUCCAUCUUGAAAAGGAAACAUGCCAAGUGUGUCAAACAAGUAAAGUAUUCGUGCAAUUUGUAAGAAUCAAUGUGCUGCAGAUAAAGUCCUCGUUUGGCCCCCAUUUUUGGUAAUGAGAAUGGGAGGAAUAGUGGUUUGUUGAAAAAAUGAGUGGUUGAAAAAGAAGGAAAAAUUUUCGAUUUACGUGUAAUAUUAUUUUAUGGAAGAUUGUGUGGUUGAAAAUAGGAGAGAGAAAAAUAGAAUGUAAUUUAAUGUGGAUCAAAAUGGGGGAAAGUAUGUGAGAUAAAGUUGAAAAGUAAAGUGGUUUAUCCAUUUUAUCUAUUCCACUUGUUUGUAACUAUUUCCUAUUUUGUAGUAAAGCUUGUAAUGAGUAUAGUAUAAGCUUUGUAAUGCAUAUUGUGCAAGCUUAAUGUCUAGGUUGUCUACAAAUAAGUUAUUGGUGAUCAUUGUCAUCAUCCCCAAGCCUUGUGUAAUAUCUCUCUUUAAC
rnacentral:lncRNA from 1 species